rnacentral:rRNA from 1 species
UAAACUAGGAUUAGAUACCCUAUUAUUGUAAAUGUAAAUUGUUAUACCUGAGUAGUAUUAGUUAUGUUCUUGAAAUUAAAAGAAUUUGGCGGUGUUUUAGUUCUAAUCAGAGGAACCUGUCCUGUAAUCGAUAAUCCACGUUUAAUUGCGCUUGCUUUACAAGCUUGUAUACCGUCGUAGUUAGAAUAUUUUAAAAGAAUUUUAAUGUUCAAGAUUUUAAAUCAAAAAACAAAUCAGAUCAAGGUACAGCAUAUAAGUAAGAAGAGAUGGGUUACAUUGAAUUUAUUCAAAUAGUUUAACUGAUGUAAUAUGGUUAAUAACAUGGAUUUGAUAGUAAUAAGGUUUAUUUUAAUCUUAUGAUUCAGUUCUGAAACGCGCACAUAUCGCCCGUCGCUCCCGCUUGCAAAGUGGGAUAAGUCGUAACAUAGUAGGCGUACUGGAAAGUGUGCCUAGAUUGACAGAUCAGAGCUUGUUAGAAAGCAUUUUAUUUACAUUAAAAAGUUAAUUGUGAAAAUCAAUUUGAUUUGAAUUUAAUAAAUUAUUUAUUUAUUUUAAAAAAAGUAAUUUUUAGUUUUAUUAUAUUUAUAGAAAAAACAUUUUUAAUUAUAGUGAAUUAGUAUAGUGAUAGAAAUUAAUUAAGUUUAAAUUUGGUAAAGAAGAAUUUGGUUUUUGUACCUUGUGUAUCAGGGUUUAUUAAUUAAAAUCCAUGUAAAUUUGGAUUUCUCGAUUUUAAAAGAGCUAAGAAAUUAUAUAUUUUAUUGUUGAAUAACUAUUUGGAAUAAUUUUUUUGUAAUGAAACGUUAGCCGUUUUUAAAUAUAUCUAGUUUUUUGAGAAAUAAAUUGAAUUUAGUUGUUGUUUAAUUAUAUAGUUGACUUUUUAACUUGUUAUUUUCAACAUUUAAUAUCCUGAGGGAUAAGCUUUAGGAUAAAUUGUUAUAAAUUAUUAUUUAAACCAUAUUUAUAUAUAGGAUUAAAAAUGUCCAUUAUUAGUAGUUUGUCAUAAUUAGUUUUUUGUUUAAUAUGAUUUAUAUUUAGUUUUAAUUGUUUUAUCAAAAUAGUUUAUUUAAUUAUAAAGUAAAAGUAAUAAUGAUAGAAUUAGUAUAAGAUGUUGUGUAAUUAAGUUUGAGAAGUUAGGUUAAUUUAAGGAACUCGGCAAAGAGUUUUUCCGCCUGUUUAUUAAAAACAUGGCUUUUUGAUUUUAAUUUAAAGUCUGGCCUGCCCACUGAUUAUUUAAAUGGCCGCGGUAUUUUGACCGUGCAAAGGUAGCAUAAUAAUUAGCUUUUUAAUUGAAAGCUGGAAUGAAUGGUCGGACGAGAAAAAGACUGUCUCUUUUUAAUUUAUUUAGAAUUUUAUUUUUAAGUAAGAAAGCUUAAAUUUGCUUAAAAGACGAGAAGACCCUAUAGAGUUUUAUAUUUUUAAAUAGAGCAUUAAUUUUUAGAAUUUUUUAUUGUUGUUGGUUUUAGGUAUUUUGUUGGGGUGAUAGGGAAAUUGAAAUAACUUUUCUUAAAUUGUUAACAUUGAUAUAUGGUUGGUUGAUCCAUUUUUUAUGAUUAAAAGAUUAAAUUACCUUAGGGAUAACAGCGUUAUUUUUCUUGAGAGUUCUUAUCGAAAGGAAAGUUUGCGACCUCGAUGUUGGAUUAAAAUUAACUUUUGGUGCAGUAGCUAAAAAGUUAGGUCUGUUCGACCUUUAAAAUUUUACAUGAUCUGAGUUCAAACCGGAG